GUUUAAUAGACUCGUGUUUUGUACAUAACGUACUUAUCAUUCACAUAUAUUUCGCGUGUAUAAGUGGUUUUUUUUUUAAAUCCAGUUUCGUUGACGACGACAUGACCAGAACUGUUUGUACAUUAACAAAUAUCGCCCUGUGGAAUCAAGCGGGCACCUCCCCGAUGUGUUCAAACGUUCAAAAAUACAGAACAUCAAAAAGACAAAAUGGAGGGCUGAGCCUUUCGCAGAGUUGUAUGUGAGAGCAAGGAACGACAACUCUGCGUGGAGAUUGGUGGGGUCGGCGUGUAUUUGGCUGCCUGAGCGCUGAUUGGCUGAUGC